AUUACAACAUCUCCCUUUAUUCGUUUUCUGCAAGUUCUUAAUUGCAGCUUGGUCCCAUAUUUGAUCGCUGCAAUUCCUAUACUAGGUCAUCCUAAUUUCCAUCACUCUUCAAUCCCAGGUAGUUUGCCAUCGUCUUCAAUCGAUCUCCAUCAGAUCUACAUACAUACUUCCAGUCCUUCGCGAAAUUUUAUGCUCGGUCCUUCGCGAAUCUCACCGCCGGUAGUCUGACUUUCCUCUUUGGUUGGAUCUUUUGCCGGCCACCACAAAGGUAUCACCACCGUAGUCUCCCUCUUCGUCUCUGAGGAACUCCUUCGCAACGCUCACUCGCCGCUAUUUUCUCUUCCUCUCUGGCCCUUGAAUUCGCCAGCCACCAGUCGCGGUUUGUUGUUCCAUCUUAUAUCCGCCGCUGGCAACACCACACGCCCUCCAAAAUUGCAGAUAAGUGGAGAUAGAAGAAGGGAUUUGCGGUACCUUCAAAUUGAAAAUCCAGUCUUGUUAAUUCAACAUUUAUUCGAAAUUGAAGCAGAAAGAGGAAGCAUUUGAACUUUGCUUAGUGAAUAUUAUUACUGAGGAGUGAGAAGAAGUGAUGGCCGAAGGUGCAGCACCAGCAAAGGCAGAUGAGCCAGCGCCGCACCCGCUGAAAGAUCAGCUCCCUAAUGUUUCUUACUGCAUUACUAGUCCUCCUCCAUGGCGUUAGAAGAACUGAAGAGAGGCAGAUGAAGACUGAAAGCCUCAGCUGAGUUUCUGAGCAGGAAUACCUUGCCUAUGCUGUCUACAACAUCCAGAAAAUUACCAGGGUUAUGUACAAAGAGAAAUCCCAUACUCUAAUGAGGAGUUAGAAGAAACUCGAGAACAAUGGGCAAAGUACUUUAAGGACAAGUAUUUGAUGGAUGCCGCCGAAUGAGUUUGGGGUUGAUCUAGACGUAAUAUAUGUUGUAUAUUUUUGUUUUCUAGUAUAUAUUUAAUGGAUGUUAUGCAUGUACGUGCAUUGAAAUAUAUUAUUAUGAUGUUGGAUGCUAGCUGGUUGUAACAUAUAUGGAUGUUGGAGCAUA